rnacentral:rRNA from 1 species
AUUGAACGCUGGCGGCAGGCCUAACACAUGCAAGUCGAACGAGUGGCGGACGGGUGAGUAAUGUCUGGGAAACUGCCCGAUGGAGGGGGAUAACUACUGGAAAAGGUAGCUAAUACCGCAUACCAUCGGAUGUGCCCAGAUGGGAUUAGCUAGUAGGUGGGGUAACGGCUCACCUAGGCGACGAUCCCUAGCUGGUCUGAGAGGAUGACCUGCAACACUGGAACUGGGACACGGUCCAGACUCCUACGAGAGGCAGCAGUGGUGAAUAUUGCACAGUGGGCGCAAGCCUGAUGCAGCCAUGCCGCGUGUAUGAAGAAGGCCUUCGGGUUGUAAAGUGCUUUCAGCGGGGAGGCGUUACCCGCAGAAGGAGCACCGGAUAACGCCGUGCCAGCAGCCGCGGUAAUUC